UUUACAGAAAUGAAUGUCAGAGUGAUGAGAAGUAUAUCUGAGUGUAAAAUGCCCAUGUUCAUUAAUCUCUUUUCAGGGUAGGACAUCAGCUUUUUGGGAGCACGAUUAAAGAGAGAAGACGUUCUGUCUCUGAAGCCAUCCAUGGCUGCUCUUUGGUGGCUGCAAGACAGAUGCUGCUCAGUCCUGCCAUCUACAAACCAGCUCGCAGGAGAUUGAUUUGUGAGAUGAGCUGUCGUGCACCAGUAGACCUCUGAUAAACCCUGAUACUUGCUGUGUGAUUCUGGAGAAGAGACACAAAGAUCCAUCAGAACCUGUCCCUCCCUGACCACUGAAGAGCUGUUUCCCAGAAGAUGGAGCUCUUUCCCCAAGACUGGUGAUGAUGGAGACCUUGAAACAGAAUACAUUUGCUGGUGUGGGCAGUACAGUCUCCCUGCUCUGAAGUCUGAAAUCUUCAAACUGGAAGAGUGUGUGGUAAGAUGCCUUCAGCUGCUCCAUCCAGCCCCGAGUCUUGUCCAUGUUUGAGGUACCCAUCACUCCCCAGAAAGCAGCCGGCAGGCACGUGAACAUUUUGGGUUUGCUUCCCUUUGUUAUUUCCUCCGACUGCAUAGAGUUGUAUUGAUCUUUCUUGCUAGAUCUGCUUUUAUCCAUUUCCUUUUGCUGACUCUUUGGAGUGAGGUUCUUGGCUUUUCCAGCAUCAGUUUAAUCUGACAGAUUGGCAGCUCUCAGUGCUGCGGAUCAGAGCUUCCCUGUCAGGACAAGAGGAGUCUGCACACACAGAAAUCCUAGUACAGAGGUGCAGGAGAGAGAGGAGAGAAGGAAGGGGAAGUAGGGAGAAAGGAAGCAUUCUCUUUAAGACAAACUAGAAGAAGAUAAACUCUUCUUAAAUUCAGUCUAUGCAGCAAAAUACACUUGUGACUGUGAUGGUGAAUAAAAGCCCAUUUUGAAAACUGGGAAACCUAUUU
rnacentral:lncRNA from 14 species